CUACAGGUUUGGUCCUGGCCUUUUUGUUAGUUCGUAGUAAGCUUACACAUGCAAGAAUCCCCAAGCCGGUGAAAAUGCCCUCCAAUUCAUGCACUGACUAAGAGGAGCAGGUAUUAAGUACACACUAGUAGCUCAAAACACCUUGCUCAACCACACCCCCAAGGGACACAGCAGUGAUUAAUCUUAAGCAAUAAACGAAAGUUUGACUAAGUUACACUACGUCAGAGUUGGUAAAUUUCGUGCCAGCCACCGCGGUCAUACGAAUAACCCAAAUUAACAAACCCCGGCGUAAAGAGUGUUUUAAGGGCCCAACUUCUCAAUAAAGUUAAAUAAUACCCAAGCUGUAAAAAGCCAUGGUUACAAUAAAACCCCCAACGAAAGUGACUUUACAACCCUUGAAUACACGACAGCUAGGACCCAAACUGGGAUUAGAUACCCCACUAUGCCUAGCCGUAAACUUAAAUAGUUACUUCAACAAAACUAUUCGCCAGAGGACUACUAGCAACAGCUUAAAACUCAAAGGACUUGGCGGUGCUUUAUACCCCCUAGAGGAGCCUGUUCUAUAAUCGAUAAACCCCGUUUCACCUCACCACCCUUUGCCAACUCAGCCUGUAUACCGCCAUCUUCAGCAAACCCUAAGAAGGCAACAUAGUAAGCUCAACAACACUCGUAAAAACGUUAGGUCAAGGUGCAGCCCAUAGGGUGGGAAGCAAUGGGCUACAUUUUCUUUAUAAGAAUAAAGACGAUAGCCUUUAUGAAAUCUACAGGCCUAAGGCGGAUUUAGCAGUAAAUUGAGAAUAGAGAGCUUAAUUGAACACGGCAAUGAAGCACGCACACACCGCCCGUCACCCUCCUCAAUUAUUUAAAUAGACCUGUACCCCUAAAUAAAUAUAGUACAUCAACAAAUACUAGAGGAGAUAAGUCGUAACAAGGUAAGUGUACUGGAAAGUGUGCUUGGAAAAUU
rnacentral:ncRNA from 1 species